rnacentral:rRNA from 1 species
GAUGAACGCUAGCGACAGGCCUAACACAUGCAAGUCGGAGGGGCAGCGCGUUGAGUAGCGAUACGAGAUGGCGGCGACCGGCGCGACGGGUGCGUAACAGGUGUGCAAUCUGUCCAUAAGUCGGGGAAUAGCCCGGACGAAAACCGGAUUAACGCUCCAUGUGAGUAACCACCGCAUGAUGGUUAUUUGAAACGCAAGGAUAAUGGUUGAGCACGUCUUCUGAUUAGGUAGUUGGUGAGGUAACGGCUCACCAAGCCGA